ACUUUAGUUGUGUAUCUGCUGUAAAUAUGGACGGAGAAUCAUUAGUAGGCUUUAGGCGGGCACUUAAGAAUUAUCAGGCCGCCCAUAAAGAACCCUACUGACAUUG
rfam:Nicotiana sylvestris Nsyl_contig104967, whole genome shotgun sequence.